AUCCACAUAACGAGUUCAAAAUAGGACAAAACACACGUCGAGGAU
rfam:Schistosoma mansoni strain Puerto Rico chromosome 3, complete genome